rnacentral:pre_miRNA from 1 species
AAACAACCCCCUAUGUUUUGAUUCUUUAGCAGUUUUGGACCCCCAAGGCAAAAAAACAAAAAAAAUAUUGACACGUGGCACCUCACUUAGGGUGCCACGUCAGCGUUGACCGAAUCAACAAUGUACUGGGGUCCAAAACUGCCAAAGAAUCAAAACAUAGGGGGCUGAUU